rnacentral:rRNA from 1 species
AGAGUUUGUCCUGCUCAGAUUGAACGCUGGCGGCAUGCCUUACACAUGCAAGUCGAACGGUAACAGGUUAAGCUGACGAGUGGCGAACGGGUGAGUAAUGUAUCGGAACGUGCCCAGUCUGGGGGAUAACUGCUCGAAAGAGCAGCUAAUACCGCAUACGACCUGAGGGUGAAAAGCGGGGGAUCGCAAGACCUCGCGCGAUUGGAGCGGCCGAUAUCAGAUUAGGUAGUUGGUGAGGUAAAGGCUCACCAAGCCGACGAUCUGUAGCUGGUCUGAGAGGACGACCAGCCACACUGGGACUGAGACACGGCCCAGACUCCUACGGGAGGCAGCAGUGGGGAAUUUUGGACAAUGGGCGCAAGCCUGAUCCAGCCAUGCCGCGUGCGGGAAGAAGGCCUUCGGGUUGUAAACCGUUUUUGUCAGGGAAGAAAAGGUUCUGGCUAAUACCUGGGACUCAUGACGGUACCUGAAGAAUAAGCACCGGCUAACUACGUG